rnacentral:piRNA from 1 species
UGUCAUGAGAUAUGAUGGCCCCCGCUAGA